GACGAACGCUGGCGGCGUGCCUAAUACAUGCAAGUAGAACGCUGAAGGAGGAGCUUGCUUCUCUGGAUGAGUUGCGAACGGGUGAGUAACGCGUAGGUAACCUGCCUGGUAGCGGGGGAUAACUAUUGGAAACGAUAGCUAAUACCGCAUAAGAGUAGAUGUUGCAUGACAUUUGCUUAAAAGGUGCAAUUGCAUCACUACCAGAUGGACCUGCGUUGUAUUAGCUAGUUGGUGGGGUAACGGCUCACCAAGGCGACGAUACAUAGCCGACCUAAGAGGGUGAUCGGCCACACUGGGACUGAGACACGGCCCAGACUCCUACGGGAGGCAGCAGUAGGGAAUCUUCGGCAAUGGACGGAAGUCUGACCGAGCAACGCCGCGUGAGUGAAGAAGGUUGUCGGAUCGUAAAGCUCUGUUGUAAGAGAAGAACGAGUGUGAGAGUGGAAAGUUCACACUGUGACGGUAUCUUACCAGAAAGGGACGGCUAACUACGUG
rnacentral:rRNA from 1 species